rnacentral:rRNA from 1 species
GAGUUUGAUCAUGGCUCAGAACGAACGCUGGCGGCAGGCCUAACACAUGCAAGUCGAACGAUCCUUCGGGAUAGUGGCAGACGGGUGAGUAACGCGUGGGAACAUACCCAGAGGUUCGGAAUAACACGGAGAAAUUCGUGCUAAUACCGGAUACGUCCUUCGGGAGAAAGAUUUAUCGCCUUUGGAUUGGCCCGCGUUGGAUUAGCUUGUUGGUGGGGUAAAAGCCUACCAAGGCGACGAUCCAUAGCUGGUCUGAGAGGAUGAUCAGCCACACUGGGACUGAGACACGGCCCAGACUCCUACGGGAGGCAGCAGUGGGGAAUAUUGCACAAUGGGCGCAAGCCUGAUGCAGCCAUGCCGCGUGAGUGAAGAAGGCCCUAGGGUUGUAAAGCUCUUUCACCGGUGAAGAUAAUGACGGUAACCGGAGAAGAAGCCCCGGCUAACUUCGUGCCAGCAGCCGCGGUAAUACGAAGGGGGCUAGCGUUGUUCGGAAUCACUGGGCGUAAAGCGCGCGUAGGCGGACUGGUCAGUUGGGGGUGAAAUCCCGGGGCUCAACCUCGGAACUGCCUUCAAUACUGCCAGUCUAGAGUCCG